CAUGAAGUUUGUAAAAGGAAACUGGACUUAGAAGUCUCCAUUGCUUUAGGUUCAAGAAGAUUCUUUUGAAAAGAAAAGAGAUGGGGAGGAGGAUCAGUGGUGAAAGCACUUGCCGUGGAAGUCUGAGGACCAACAUUCAAACCCCCAGAGGCCAUGGAAAUGCUACAUGAACAUGGCUGGUGAACUGUAAUUCCAGCCCUGGAAGGUUAAGACUGGAUCCUCAGAGAAGCUGAUCAGAGAGACUAGCCAUGCUAGCAAGACCUGGUUUUGAUUGAGAGACCCUGUCUCAAUGGAUAAGAUUCCGUGGUCCAUUCUGACAAUCAUUCUCCCUUGAUGGCUAACACAUUAAUCAUAAAGUAUGUGUCUUAGAAAAGUCCAAGCCCUGUGGUGGUGAUACAAGUCUUUAACUCCAGCACGUGGGAGGCCGACAUCAGUGGAUCUCUGUGAGUUUGAGUUCCAUGGAAGGCCAGGAAAGCUCCAGGACUGGAUUCUCUUUUACAGGCCUGGGAAGAAGAAUCAACAGGUCUAUCUCUUUGCCAUUUCUGACUUCGGGAGUGACCCACCUCAGUGAUCCUCACCUCCUAUUGAAGAAGGGACUGCAGUGAGGAACCCAGACUUCCUGCCAACAUCAGCAUCUAAUUACUAGCUCUAUGGUGAGCGAUCUGGGAUGUGGCUCUUCCCACCAUACUCAAGACUAUAGGCAAAAGCCGGAGGAGGGGGAGGCUAAACUCUUUACAGACCUAAGGAACUCUGAUCCAAAAUUAUCUAGCCAGAUCAUUACUGACUUCCUGAACUACAA
rnacentral:lncRNA from 1 species